rnacentral:snRNA from 1 species
CUAGCUUCGGUAAAACAUACUAAAAUUGGAAUGAUAGAGAUUGGCAUGGUUUUUGCACAAGGAUGUCACACAAAUUCAUGAGACAUUCCAUGUUUUA